AUGAAAUCUCAGGCUCCUGGGCGGGGCUGGGGAGGCCGGCCUUGUCACAGGCAGGAGGGGCCGCAUUCCUUCCUCAGCAGCUGGUGGAGCUGGGCCUGAGCAGGACUUCCCCAAAGGACUGAGAAGGAAGCCUCCACUCUGUCGUCGCUCUCUGCUUGGAAUUGCCUUCGGAAGACAUCCUCAAUCCUGCCCCAGCCUUACGAUUGUUUUGUGUCAUUAGAUGAAGUCACUUCACUUCUGAAGCUCACUUGCCUUUUCUAAAAACCGGAGGCUGAUAAGGAUUGCAGGAAACUCAUGGAGUUGUUCCGAGGUUAAAAUGAGAGUCUGCCUGUGGAAGGACAUUGCAGAUGAUAGAAGACACAGAUGUAAGGCAUCUACCUUAUCUUUACCAGUUUCAUCUUCUUCAUCUUCAUCUCAUUACCAUGGUCAUCCUCGUUAGCAGGGAAGAGCAGGAGUUCUCACGGCAGGAUAGGCUUCGCGGCUGUGCUGGGAAAUGCCUGUCUGAAGUAGGCCACACAUGGGCUGUGUGGAGAGCUGCACAAUAGAAUGGAAAAGAGCACUGAAUCAGGAGUAAAAAGAGCUGGGUGUUGACUUGGUACAUCCACAAACUAGCUGUGUAACCUUGUGGAUGCCGUGAAUGUCUCUGUGCUUCAGCCUCCUCGCCUGCAAGGCCCAACACCACGUGGAAGCUGCCAAGGCUUGGGGUUUGCACCAUCUGAAGCCAUGGCCUGAACUCUAUGUUAGCCCCUUUCCACCAUAGCUGGAGCUGCUUGGACACAGAGCACCAAGUCCCUAGGCUGCACACAGGUGUUCCUUGUUCUGAAGAGGAGAAACAGUAAAAAAUUUGCCAAGGACCCAAGAUAGAAGACUGUGGGCCCAGAUCCUAAUGUAAAAGAAGCCUGCCUCAACUUAAUUUUCCUGGACAGCAAGAGCUAUGAAAAUGAACUGGGUGAAUAUUGGUGUUUUCAGCUUGAGGUUCCAAUGAAUUAGGACAAUCAGAAGGAAGAGUUUAAUUUUGGGGUCUAGCAUGAGACCAUUCAGUUCAAACUUUCAUUUCACAGUUAGGAAACUAGACCCAGAGAGGCACAGUGCUUCGGCUUGAUGCUAAUAGACUGAUUUUGGAAGGCAGUUGAGCUGGAAGACACAGAUCUGGGGGCUGUCAGCCAAGGGCUGAGAAGGAUGUGAAUUAAGAAGGUGGGAAGGGAAUUGAUGGUUAAGGCCUGAGUCUUGAGAGAAACCCAUGGCCAGGAGCAGAGGAGUUAAGAUUCAUUCAGAAAUGCUCCUACAGACGUGGGAGAACAAGGAUUGUUCAGUAUAAUGGAAGCCAAAGGAGAGGGUUUUGAGGAGCAAAAGACUAGCCAACAGUAGCAAUUGUGUCAAGGUGAUCAAGGAAUAAGAUGUAAACAAUUGUUGGAUUUAUAAUAUGAUUUUAAAAGUGCAGUUUCAGUAAAGUGGUAAGAAUGGGAGGACAAUCAAAUGGCACGUGGUGUGUGUGUGUGUGUGUGGAGGUUGUGGUGUGUGUGGGGGGGGAUGUAUGUGUGGAGAGUGUGGCAUGAGAUGCAUGUGCAUAUGUAUGUUUAGGAUGAGGUGUGUGUGGAGAGUGAGAUGUGUGUGUGUAGGAUAUGAGGUGUGUGAGCUGUGUGUGUGUGUGUGUGAUGUGUGUGUAGGGUGCAGUGUUGUGGUAUAUGUGUAUGUGUACAUGGUGUGGGGGGUGCAGGGUGUGUGUGUAUGUAGGAUGCGGUGUGUGUGGAGAGUGAGAUGUGUGUGUAGAGUGCAAUGUGUAUGGGGUGUUUGUAGGGUGCGCUGUACAUGUGGGCAGUGUGUGUGUAUUCUGACUGAAUGCUGAGCACUGGUGCUUGAGCUCUCCUGCCCUGCCUGGGAGGUGGUGUGUCUGAGGUGAGGGGAAGGCUGACCCAGCUGAUGGGUCCUGUGAGGCAGAGGUUGAGGAGGGAGCCAGAGAUGAGAACCAACAACAUGCUCCAGGAAGAGGGACAGGCGCAGAAGCAAGGGGACACCAGACUGGAACAGAUGGACUCAUGCAGUUGUUCCUUGAUGGCCUGUUCACAUAUAGCAUUUGCCAUGUCCCACAAAUGCAGAAUUCUGGUGGAACCACAGUGCGUGGAAGUUCCAGGAGACUGAAAGUGGUGCAAGGUUAAGUGUGUUACAUAUGUAAUUGAGUAAUCAGGGGUGCUGACAGCCCGACAGGCCAUGCCUUCCAUUCGAACCAGAGCUUGCUUCACAUAGAAAGAAAGCAAUGGCUUUCUAAGGAAUGUGGACAAGUGAGGAACCCUAUCAUAUCCUUCUUACUCAUUUCUUCCCUGUGUUAACCAACCACUUACGCUGAAAAUGAUGACACAGAAGAAAGGGAAAGACAGGACAACCCAUAGUUCCUUUUCCUUUCAGCCCUUCCUUACUCAUCAGUAAGCUGAAGGUCAAGAGUAUUGAUGGAACAUGCACGUUAUCAAGAAGUAAAAUUAAAACAGUUGAGUUAGUUUUGUGCAGUGUUCCCGCUGCUCUGGUAAGGACAAAAUAUAUACGCAAGUAAGAGCUAGGAAAUAUGAACUGUGUAAUUUCAAUGAUUCCACGUAUGAGUCAAAUGCACUUAUUUUCAUUUACAACUAACACUACACAACAUAAAGAAUAGUAAAAUUCAUACUAAUAAUUAAAUUUUAAAUUUUUCUUUACUUAAAAUGACAUUAAAUAUCAAAUUAAAAACAUCAUGACUAGUAAAAAAAAAUUGUGGAAGAAAGAAAAAGUUUUAUGCUUUGGUGACCCUUAAUGGCCUUAUUUCCCUCUGGUUUUUGAACAAGGAGCUCGAUAUUUUCAUUUUGUACUGGGCCCUGAAAAUUAUGUUACUGGCCCUGGGUGAGAUGGUUGUUUAUAUUUGUAUGACCAGGGUCAAAAAACAGUCUUGGAACCACAGGAGCAGGGAAGAUUCACCAAUAAAUUGAUGAACACAAGUCUUCAUCAUUACCCACACACACUCACUGGCCCCUCAACAUUGGUAACAAUGGCCAUGGGUGGAGAGUUAAGAAGAUGAUAACUCCCAGAAAACUAUGCUUUUUCUGCUGAUAACUCUUCAACAUCUCACCACACCCAAUAUCUCUGCUUUUGUUAACAAACCAUGAACUGCUUCAAGUUGUCAUACCCUUUCUCACUGUCUUUCUUCUGAUUGGAACGGCCUGGUGAGAGCAGGCUGGUGGGAACACACACCUUCCGAAAGGCCCUCACCACAGCAGAUCACUGCUGGCGUCCGAGCUACUUCCUGCUUGUCCUGUUGUGUCCUUCAUCAGUGACCGCACUCUUGGAGUGCUUGCCUCUGGCUCCUGUUUUCCACCCAUUUCUCAGCCUGGUAACUCCUGGUUUCCAGUCUUAGUGGGCCCACUGCUCUGCUCCCACCUCCUGUGAUAGGGUCGGGAGAGCCGCCAACCCCACUUGACUCCUGGACCCCAUCCAGGCUGUGGUAUGUGCCAGCACCAUCUUCCCAAAGGAUGCUGCCCCUCCCUGAGGCUCAUGGUAUAGCUCUUCUCCCAUAUUCAUACCCCCGUCUUGAAGCCUGGCCCACAUAGGGUUUCCAGAAAGCCUUCCCCGAACCACUAAUAGAAACCCUACUAUACUCACACCUUCCUUAAGAGAUACUUCACAAACCCAGUUUUGUGCGGUGCAAAGGGGAUGAAAUCAGAAAUAACAUAGGUUUAAAUCCUGGUUAACUAACUGAUUUUUGAGUCUGUCAAUAAACCUCUCUGUGCCUCAAUUUCCCCAUCUACAAAAACAGGAUUGUGAUACUUACCUCAUAGGAUCAUUGUGAGGAUUAUGAGAAAUAGCACAGGCAAAGCACCUAGGUGCUGCCUGGCAUGUCCCAGCACUCAGUAAAAGCUCCCCCAACACUUUUCUCCCCCUGCUGGGGUUGGGCACCAUGCCUUAUUCAUGCCUUUAUUCCUUGCAGCACCUAGAGUAACAUCUUGUGGCUGGCAGAUGAUCAAUGCCUGUGGAUUGAAUUAAAUUAAAACUUUCCUUGUGUUACACUGUUCUCUCCAUGUCCCCAGUUGUAAUAUCCUCUUAAAAGUAUCAUCGCUUGGCUGGGCACGGUGGCUCAUGCCUGUAAUCCCAGCACUUUGGGAGGCUGAGGCGGGUGGAUUACAAGGUCAGGAGAUCGAGACCAUCCUGGCUAACACGGUGAAACCCCGUCUGUACUAAAAAUACAAAAAAAAAAAAAAAAAUUAGCUGGGCGUGGUGGUGGGCGCCUGUAGUCCCAGCUACUCGGGAGGCUGAGGCAGAAGAAUGGCAUGAACCCGGGAGGGGGAGCUUGCAGUGAGCCGAGAUCGCGCCACUGCACUCCAGCAUGGGCAACAGAGUGAGACUCCGUGUCAAAAACAAACAAAAAAAAGUAUCAUUGCUCAGCUUAUAAGUUCUACUUCAUGUUACUGCAGAUUGUGACCCCCAAAUGAAGUAACUUUUGCUGUUCCUUCUUAUUAAAAAUAAUACAUGCUCAAUAUAUAAAUAAAAAUACAAGCAAAAAGAGUAUUAAAAAGUCUGAUAAUUCUACCCACACAGACAUAGCUAGUAUUAACAUCUCUCCAUUAGCUUUUCAAUGCAAUGCAGCUAUUAUAUCUAUGUGUGUGCAUGUAUACAUGUAUGUAUAAUAUUUUGCUGAGGGAGGAAGGUGGAAAUAGCAUAUUAAGAGAGGGAUGUGGGCUUUAGAAUAGAAAAAAUUCAGCAAGCCUGUGCUCUGUGAGUGUGAAAAUAACCACUGGUGUCUACUUAGAUUCAGUAGGGUGGGAGUCUUGCUGGAAAUGCUUUUUAAAUUUCUAGUGCCAUAAUCUUUCUUUCAUCCAAAGAGGAAAAAAUGAGUCUUUACGUAUUUUUUAAUGUAGCGAUAAUUAUCAUUCAUCAGCAUACUGCACACUCUUUAUUUGGGUGUUUAUUAAGGAUCUAUUUCAUGCCAGACGCUGGAGUUGGCACUAAAAACAAGGAUACGGUUACUGCUCUCAGUGAGUUUUCAGUCUGGUGGGGGACACACAUGAGAAAUAGCACAGGCAAAGCCCCUGGGUGCUGCCUGGCAUGUCCCAGCACUCAAUAAAAGCUCCCCCCAACACUUUUCUCCCUCUGCCGUGGUUGGGCACCAUGCCUUAUUCAUGCCUUUAUUCCUUGCAGCACCUAGAACAACAUCUUGUGGCUGGCAGUAAAUAGGUGGGCAAGAUUAUCAGAUUUUUUAAUACUCUUUUUGCUUGUCUUUUUAUUUUUAUAUCGAGUAUGCAUUAUUUUUAAUAAGAAGAAACAGCAAAAGUGACUUCAUUUGGGGGUAAGAAAAGUAAAUAGGUUACCACAGUGCCAUGUGAUAAAUGUUAGGAGGUGGGAACCACAGGAUGCUGAGGAGCAUUCAAGGUGGGGGGACCAAACCCAACUGUGAAGAAUUCCCAGAAAAGGUGGUAUCUAUGCUGAGUCUUCCAGGGAAGGUCAUAGUUUGUCAGGCCAUGAAAAUAAGGGGUAGAGAAAAAAAUAAUUCCUUGGAGAGGGAAGAACAUGUGCAAUGACUCGGAGGCAAAACUCUGUGUGGGGACUGCAGGUGCAGAGUGGGAGGAGCAUGGAGUUGGAGGGGUGAAGUGCAGAGAGAUAAGAGUGAGAAAGGCCUUGGAUACCACGCUCAUGAGUUUAAACUUUGUCCUGAUGGUUAAGGGGAGCCACUGAAUUCUUUGAAAAAGGGGGUGUCAUUAUUUGUGGGGUUGAAUGUAAACAGCUGGGUAAAUGGGUCUAUACUUCUGGAGACAGAUUUAAGCUGGAGAUGUAGACUUAGGAGUUAUUUAUAUACAGAUGGGAGAUGAAGUUUGGGGUGUAAAUCAAAUCCCUAAAGAAAUCUAUAAUGAGAAGAGUGGCUGGAAACACUGACAUUUAAUGAGAAACAGAGGAAGUUGCCUGAGAAGGAUUAGCCAGAGAGGUAGGAGAAUAACCUAGAGAUAGUAAUGUUUGGGUACCAAGGAAAGAGAAUUGUGUAGAUACAGGAGGAAAGAAUCACCAGCUGGGGAAAAAAGGGUCAAGUUAGAUAAUAACUAAAAUGAUAUUACUUGAAUUUGACAACAGGGUCAUUGGUGGUCAUAGUGAGAACAGUUUCAGGGGAGUGAUGGGGUGGAAGCCAGAUUGUAGUGGGUUGAAGAGUGGGGGUGGAAAGAGGAAAUGAAGGUAACAAAUAUAGACAACAUUUUAUGAGGUUUCACUUCAAAGGGGAGAAAAGAAAUAGUGCAGUAGCUAAAGUAAGACCUGUGAUUGGAGGAAGACUUCAUUAUUUUAAGAUUUAGAAAAGCUGUUCAAGCAGAUUGAAAUACUGAUGGGAAGAAAGAGAAAGUGAAAGAGAGAGAGAGAAGAUAAUUCUUCCAAAAUGCUUUCAUAUUUAUUCAUUUGUUUAGCAUUACACAGUUCACUUAGGAGGCUAUUAAUCUUUUUUCCAUUUUCAGGCAGAAAAACUAAAUGAAACCCAAAACAAUGAAGUGAAUUCUCUAAGAUUGUAUGUCAGGAAAAUGAAAGUGAUAAGCUUAAACUCUGGGGUUCCAACAGACAGUAAAGAUUCAGGAAGAAAAAUGCAUUUCCAUCUGUAAAAUCCCUUGAGCCCAGAGCAUAUCCAAGGUACUAUGAUCAUCAUGCCCCCAACUCCCCCACCCUCGACUGGGAGGGGAAGCCAGUCUUGUAGCUCUUAUCAGACUGUAUUGAGCUGAAGCUUUAAUGAGCAGCAGCAAUCUGUUAUUUUCCUCUUGUUUGCCUUGCAAGUUGCUCUUUUAAUUCACAUCAAGAGAGGGAGAAGGAGAUGAAUAUUAAAAGCGCACAUCAAGGGACUGAGCCAGCCAGGGAGACAGGGAGCUCUUCAGUAUGCAGGGACAGAAGCAGGAGUUUGAUGUGAGACAGGAACCAUUGCCCUGGAGUCUGCUCCGGUGUCUGACAAGCCUGCCCUUGGGAAAUGUUGCUCACUAGAGUUGCUCUGGUAUUGGGAAAGGGUUGUUUCUGGAAUUGUCUGCACUGUGGGCUUGGCUGACUCUAGAAUGACAACAGAAAGAAAGAAACUAUUUCUGAGACUUUGAGAGAAUAAUUUAUUAUGAUGUAGAAACCAAAGUGUGGGGGAAGAGUUUCUGUAAUGGGACAUCUGACCUAAAAAGAGCAGUAAGUCCCACUGGUCUCAGAUGGUUUGGGUGUAGGAAAGAUGGAAGGAAAGGGUCUCAAUGUCAAGAGUACCAAUAUUUUUUUUAGUCUCUAUUCAGUAGUGAGGCUCUGAUUCUCCAAGUUAAUUUCAUAAAGUGGUGAAAAUCCAGAGCAAAGGCCAGCAAACAUUUGGGAAUUGUUUGCUUCAGCUGGUCCAGAUGACCCUAUAAGGGACUUAUCUUCUCUAUAAUCUGAGAACUUGGAAGAAUAAGAGCUUAAUAAGGGUGCAUAGGAGGUUAAUCUUAUCCCCAAGUACUGCAAUAAAUGCUCACCAUCAGAAUCACACAGAGGUUUGUACUUGCUAAUUCAGCCAAAGUCAGUUCUUGGGAAGACCUCAGGGUUAUUGGCUGACUGUAAUGGUGUAAUGGGUAAAGGCCAGGAUUGGUUGAUUGGUUGUUAAGGGUAAUAAUUUUGUACCAAGCCCAAAAUUAUACAGGGCUGGCAUCUUCAAGUUCUUGCACUGUGCAUGGAUUUGGUAAAUUCUUAAUAAAUCUUUGUUAAAUGAGUG
rnacentral:lncRNA from 1 species